rnacentral:rRNA from 1 species
AGCUCCAAUAGCGUAUAUUAAAGUUGUUGCAGUUAAAAAGCUCGUAGUUGGAUUUCUGGCAGAGUGACUUCAACCAUCUGAUGAUUGGUGAAAGCGCUUUACCAUCCUUCGGUUAACCUUCACGGGAUUCACUUUCUGCGCUGGGGCUCCGAUAUUUUACCUUGAGAAAAUUAGAGUGUUUCAGGCAGGCUAUCGCCGGAAUACAUUAGCAUGGAAUAAUGGAAAAGGACUUCUACCUCUUCUGUUGGUCUGGGAGGCAGUAGUAAUGAUUAAUAGGGAUAGUUGGGGGCAUUAGUACUUAACUGUCAGAGGUGAAAUUCUCCGAUUUGUUAAAGACUAACUUAUGCGAAAGCAUUUGCCAAGGAUGUUUUCA